rnacentral:rRNA from 1 species
AGUGAACGCUGGCGGCAGGCCUAACACAUGCAAGUCGAACGGCAGCACAGGGGAGCUUGCUCCCUGGGUGGCGAGUGGCGGACGGGUGAGGAAUACAUCGGAAUCUGCCUAUACGUGGGGGAUAACGCAGGGAAACUUACGCUAAUACCGCAUACGACCUACGGGUGAAAGCGGGGGAUCGCAAGACCUCGCGCGGAUAGA